GUCUGUUUGCCUUACGUGCUUUGAGCAACACCAACUUGCAAGCCACCUUUCAUUUAUUCCACCACCAGUGCACCUACCGACCACAACCCCAUUUAAUCCAUCUCCAUCCAUUAACUUAUAUUAGAACUCAAACCCUAGCUAACCUCUUCACACCUCUGCACCCCAUCUCUCCUUACCUCUUGAACACACCCCCGUAUAUCGAUCUUUCUCUCCUUACCUCUCGAACAUGCCUCGUACAUCUCUCGUAUAACCAGCUCCAGUAUGGCCACCAUCACCCAAAUAGAGACUGAAGACGAAGACAGGACAAUGACAAAAAUGGACGACGAUACAUUUUGGAAUGAGCGGCAUUGGAAUCUGAUUUGGACCUGAGCUUCAUAGAUGCACCUUCGCCACCUUCGCAUUUAGAAGACCAGAUCCUGCCAUAUGAGCUGUGCCAGUUUAUAAAGAGAUAUAUUGCUUCAAACGACAAACUGGCAAGCUGUUACUACUUGUGUUGGUACUCUGCAGAAAAUUAAUUCUAAGAAGGUACUGCAUUUGUGCUGCGAACUGAACUCGCCCUGCUCCUAGUUACCCCGGAGACACCAACUGACCCCUAAUUACCCGAACAAAAUAUGUUCCUAAUUACCCGAACAAAAUAUGUUCCUAAUUACCCGAACAAAACGUGAUUAACAGAGUCCUAAUUAACAUGAGUCAAAUCGGCUGAAAACAAAAAUACAAAUGAUUUUUGUAUCAAUUUUUUAAAACACUAUUUAAUGUUCACUUGCGGUCUAAUUCUUGGGCAAUCAUUGAGUUGGGGCCUACUAUAAAGUAAACCUCAUCUACGUAGCACAUUAGCUUCUUCCAUUCAUUCGAUCCAUUAGGUUCUUCAAUUUGUUUAGAGAAGAAACGAGAGACAAGAAAACAUUUUUGAUUACGAUUAAAAGGAACAAUCUCAAAUGGACCAAGAUCAAAUUUCGGGUCAUUUCUUGGUGAACAUGAUCUGCCAUAAUCUCUUCGAUCCCUUCAUUUAUGUGCCAAAAUAAAGAGAUAUUUGGUAGGAAAGUGGAAGAUACUUUUUUGUAUAUGAAAAUCAAAGGGAGU